CUCGCGAUCGCCCACCUCUUCACGCACGCUCACUUCCCUCACGCCCUCUCCGCGCCCUCCGCCCCUGCAUGCCCCUCGCUCCGGGCUCGCCCACCCCGGGAACAACCUCGUGAGUCCUCGGCUGCCCACACGCAGGACGCGGAAGCCCAGCCGGAGUGGGACCAGCAGCCUCUGCGCGCCUCGCUAUCUGCAUACGCCACGCCCCUCUCCGGAAGUCCCGCGCCUCUCAGCUUUCCCCAAGCCCGCUGAGGACAGCGGGGAGAACGCAGGAGGGAUCUGCUCAGAGCCUUCGACUUAAAAUGAACAUUAGGUUCUUGUUUCAAGUUACAUUGAGGGGUUUCACUUUUCGCACCGUCUAUGUCUAACCUUUUCCCCAUUGGGAAAUCGCUAUGUUUGGGGGCACUUAGCCCUCAGGCGGCUUUCUAGUCUGUUACUUUCUCUUUGGCUUGUGUGGCCUCGAGGAGCUUUAGGGCAGGUUUCCUAGACCUCCAGGUUUCUCUAGAUAGGACGCAUUGACAAUGUUAAGUGAAAAAAUAAAGUGCACGCAUAUAUGUAGUAUGCUACCCUUUGUCUAUGAAAAAUGUGAAAAAAAAGAAAAUUAUACACCGUCUGUCAAAAAGAAACCCAGGAGUGUUAAACCGGAACUGAUGAAAUUGCCUAUAUGGGUGAGUGCAAGGAGAGAGUGACAGUUUUCUGAGCGUACCUUUCUAUGUAAUUAUUUGGGGAUCUCUGUUAACAUUUUGGAUAUGUUUUUAAAACACAGGGGGAGGGACUUCCCUCGUGGUCCAAUGGGAAAGACUCCGCACUUCCAAUGCAGGGGGCCGGGGUUCGGUUCCUGGUCACGGAACUAGACCCUGCAUGCGUGCCGCAACUAAGGGUUCACAUGCCGCAACUAAAGAUCCCACAGGCCACAACUAAAGAUCCCACGUGCCGCAACUAAGAUCCGGCACAGCCAAAAUCAAGGAAGGAAGGAAGAAGGAAAGAAAGAAAAACUGCUGCUUAAAAAAAAAAAUACAGGGGGAGGACUUCCCUGGUGGCGCGAUGGUUAAGAAUCCUCCUGCCAAUGCAGGGGACACGGGUUCGAGCCCUAGGUCCGGGAAGAUCCCACAGGCCGCGCGGAGCAACUACGCCUGUGCGCCGCAACUUCUGAGCCUGCGCUCUAGAGGCCGCGAGCCACAACUACUGAAGCCCGCCCGCUCAGAGCCAGGGCUCCGCAACAAGAGAAGCCACCGCAAUGAGAAGCCCGCGCACCACAACGAACAGUAGCCCCCGCUUGCCGCAACGGGAGAAAGCCCACGCGCAGGGACAAAGACCCAGCGCAGCCAAAGAUAAAUGACAUUUUUAAAAAAAUACAGGGGGAAAAGACCCUAAAAUUGGAGGUAAGUACAAAUUAACCUAACUGUAUCUCAGAUGACUAGUGUAACCACACUAGUGGAGUAGAAAUAACCAACCGAAAUGACUUUUGAACACAGUACAUUGACCAUAACCGUUUUCAACUCUAAAGACAAGAACUGCAAAUACUAGUAGGUUGGUAUUUCAUAGCUAUGUGGUUGUAACAGUUUUGUACCAAUGCUGUUGUAUUGUAGGAUUGAGCUAAUGAGUAAAUGGAGGCUGGGAGUCAAGGUUCUCACUGUUGAAGAGAGGAGAUACAAAUACAGAAUGGCGGAGGGCGAGGAGGAACCAUGUGGUGUUAAGUUGAAAAUUGGAAUUGAAGAUAUCAGUAUAGGCCCAUUAUUAUUUUUUUUAAAUUAAUCAAUUUAGUUUUGGCUGCAUUGGGUCUUCGUUGCUGCGCGCCGGCUUUCUCUAGCUGUGGCGAGAGCGGGGGCUACUCUUCAUUGAGGUGAGCGGGCUUCUCAUCGCGGUGCCUUCUCUUGUUGUGGAGCACUGGCUCUAAGCGCGCGGGCUUCAGUAGUUGUGGCACGCAGGCUUUAGUAGUUGUGGCACGCGGGCCCAGUAGUUGCGGCUCGCGGGCUCAGUUAGUUGUGGCUCGCGGGCUCUAGAGCGCAGGCUCAGUAGGUGUGGCGCAAGAGCUUAGUCGCUGCGAGGCAUGUGGGAUCUUCCCGGACCAGGACUCGAGCCCGUGUCCCCUGCAUUGGCAGGCGGAUUCUUGACCACUGUGCCACGAGGGAAGUACCUGGCCACCCCCCCCCCUUUUUUUAAACAUCUUUAUUGGAGUAUAGUUGCUUUACAGUGGUGUGUUAGUUUCUGCUGUAUAACGAAGUGAAUCAGCUAUACAUAUACAUAUAUCCCCAUAUCUCCUCCCUCUUGCGUCUCCCUCCCACCCUCCCUAUCCCACCCCUCUAGGUGGACACAAAGCACCGAGCUGAUCUCCCUGUGCUAUGCGGCUGCUUCCCACUAGCUAUUUAUUUUACAUUUGGUUGUGUAUAUAUGUCCAUGCCACUCUCUCACUUCGUCCCAGCUUACCCUCCCCCUCCCCGUGUCCUCGAGUCCAGUGUCUAUGUAUGCGUCUUUACUCCCGGGCCCAUUAUUUUUAAUAGAUAUAGACAUGUGUAGGGAAACCCACUGUCCUGAUCUUGCUUUCUAAAUGUCAUUCUCCACUAAAAAGAACCAGGGCUCUUUGGAGAAACAGAUGAUUUUCAGGAGUCAGGGAAGGUACAAGAUGAGCCUGGACUAUCUUGUGCCAGAAAAUGCUCCAAAAAUUAUAUGGACGUGUCAGAAGGACACAGUAGCCAACCUGAAGGGUCUUUCAUAGGCCCAGUAUGAGAACAACCGAACAUCAAAAUAAACGGAAACAGUCAUGGAUUAUAAACAACUAAACACAACCACGAGUUCAUGUUGAUUACAUAGGGAAGGAAGGAAAAUUCUUCCUUACAACAGAAUGCCAACCAAGAAAUGUAGAGGGCUUCCCUGAAUUAGAAAAUCAACAUUUGGCAACCAUAAUGCAAGUCAACAGUGGAUACUAAAAACUAUUGGGUUAAGGUUUUGUAACGGAUAUUUACAUAUCCUCAAUUAUCUCCACACAAAUUACUUAAUAAUUACAAGGGGCAGACCUGGUGAGCACCCCCAGUGGCAGAGGGUUACAAUACUGGCCCCGGUACCAUGUUCUUCUGCAGCACCCUCCCAUGUUGACUCUGGGCUUGGCUACGUGACUUGCUUUGGCUAAUGGAACAUUAGUAAAUGCAAUGGAAGCAGAAGACUGAAAAACAGUUGCUCGUUGGGAGUCGCUCUCACUUGCUGUCCUGAGACCACCAUGAGAAGAAGCCUGACUUAGCCUACUGGAGGAUGAAAUUACGGGAGUGAAGAUGAAUCAUGUCAACUGAGGGCCCUCAGACUGACCCGCCCCAGUGUCCCACAAGCUGACUGCAGCUGCACGAGUGGUCCUACAUCAGAGCCGCAGAACUGCCCGGCUCAGCCCAGCUGCGGUUGCUGACACAAAGAAUGGUGAGCAAAUCACGUGGUCACUAUUUUAAAUCACUAAGUUUUAGGGUAGUUUGUUACACGGCACUGGAUAACUGAUACACCACCUUAACCAAGUAAUCCAUGUUAACACCACCAAUAACUGAACAAACUGACUUCACGUGCCUGCAGUGUGAUGCCCAGAGGAGGACACUGGAUUAAUUUGAUAGGGCUGUCAUAAUAAAGUACCACAAUCUGGGUGGUUUAAAACAACAGAAAUUUAUUCUCUCACAGUUCUGGAAGCUACAAGUCCAAACUCAAGGAGUCAGCAGGGCCAUGCUCCCUCUGAGAGUCUGGGUAGAAUCUUUCCUUGCUUCUUCCUCGCUUCUAGUGGUGACAGUCGAUCCUUAACUUGCAGCUACAUCAGUCCAAUCUGUGCUUUGUCAUCACAUGGCGUUAUCCCUACGUGUCUCUGUCCUUACAUGGCAUUUUCCUCUUAUAAGGACAAUAUUCAUAUUGGAUUAGGGCCCACUCUACUGACCUCACCUUAACUUGAUUGUAUGUGCAAAGAUUCUAUUUCCAAAUAAGGUCCCAUUCAUAGGUACCAGGGGUUAGGAUUUCAGCAUUUUUUGGGGGGGGGGAGGG